UUACUUCCCACUAUACACCAAUACCACCGCUAGACACCCCAAGUCAUACACAACAUGAAACACCGCAGCCUAUACACAUAUUGGCCCACCACAUGAAACACCAUCACCUCCAUACAUUGACACACCACCAAUUACUCAACCUGAACCAAACACAUCACCUCAAUCCAAUGUAUCUGACCAACAUGACAGAUCCUUAUCCAGUCCCACUCCUCUAGUUGCACCACGUCGUAGUCAAAGAGACCUCCAAACACCAUCAUAGCUCCAAGAUUAUCAAUGCUCCCAGGUUGAUGUUACUCCGCUUGGCCCAUCAUCAUCUUCACGGUCAGGUACACACCAC
rnacentral:lncRNA from 1 species